rnacentral:rRNA from 1 species
UACGAAGGGUGCAAGCGUUACUCGGAAUUACUGGGCGUAAAGCGUGCGUAGGUGGUUCGUUAAGUCUGAUGUGAAAGCCCUGGGCUCAACCUGGGAAUUGCACUGGAUACUGGCGGGCUAGAGUGCGGUAGAGGAUGGCGGAAUUCCCGGUGUAGCAGUGAAAUGCGUAGAGAUCGGGAGGAACAUCCGUGGCGAAGGCGGCCAUCUGGACCAGCACUGACACUGAGGCACGAAAGCGUGGGGAGCAAACAGG